rnacentral:tRNA from 3 species
UAAAUGAAAACCAAAGAGAGGUGUCUAGCUGUUAAUUAGAAUAUUGUAGAAGAAACUAUUACUCAUUUAG